GGCAGAAUAGCUCAGUUGGUUAGAGCGUCAGAUAGUAACUCUGAGGUCCUGGGUUCAAAUCCCAGUUCAGCCA